rnacentral:rRNA from 1 species
AUUGAACGCUGGCGGCAGGCUUAACACAUGCAAGUCGAGCGGGGGAAGGUAGCUUGCUACCGGACCUAGCGGCGGACGGGUGAGUAAUGCUUAGGAAUCUGCCUAUUAGUGGGGGACAACAUCUCGAAAGGGAUGCUAAUACCGCAUACGUCCUACGGGAGAAAGCAGGGGAUCUUCGGACCUUGCGCUAAUAGAUGAGCCUAAGUCGGAUUAGUUAGUUGGUGGGGUAAAGGCCUACCAAGGCGACGAUCUGUAGCGGGUCUGAGAGGAUGAUCCGCCACACUGGGACUGGGACGCGGCCCAGACUCCUACGGGAGGCAGCAGUGGGGAAUAUUGGACAAUGGGGGGAACCCUGAUCCAGCCAUGCCGCGUGUGUGAAGAAGGCCUUAUGGUUGUAAAGCACUUUAAGCGAGGAGGAGGCUACUCUAGUUAAUACCUAGGGAUAGUGGACGUUACUCGCAGAAUAAGCACCGGCUAACUCUGUGCCAGCCGCCGCAGUAA